UGGGGAAUAUUGCACAAUGGAGGAAACUCUGAUGCAGCGACGCCGCGUGAGGGAAGAAGGUAUUCGUAUUGUAAACCUCUGUCUUCGGGGACGAUAAUGACGGUACCCGAGGAGGAAGCACCGGCUAAUUACGUGCCAGCAGCCGCGGUAAAACGUAGGGUGCAAGCGUUGUCCGGAAUUACUGGGUGUAAAGGGAGCGCAGGCGGUUCUUUAAGUUGGAUGUUUAAUCUACGGGCUCAACCCGUAUCAGCAUUCAAAACUGAAGAACUUGAGUGAAGUAGAGGUAGGCGGAAUUUCCGGUGUAGCGGUGGAAUGCGUAGAUAUCGGAAGGAACACCAGUGGCGAAGGCGGCCUACUGGGCUUUAACUGACGCUGAGGCUCGAAAGCGUGGGGAGCAAACAGG
rnacentral:rRNA from 2 species